UAGUUUUAUACUCUCAACUCUGUCCAAUCCAAUCUAUGAUUUUCGAUUGACAAUUUGACAUACAACCACGGUUUAAGACACUCGUUCAGAAGUUUCGUCUAAAGUAGGCAUUACUUUAAGAAGUUUAAGAGUUUAAGACACGAAAUCAACUCAAGAUGGUGAAUUUCCUGAGAUGGAUUUUGAGUUAAGAGCAAGCCGAGCAAGAAUUAGUGGAUUUGGGUGGUUUGAACAACGGGCAUGAAAUAGUUUGUGGUAAAUGUUAGCUGCUUCUUGAACGGCUCUAACUAAAAUCCUAAUAGACUGCACGUCUAAAAUGAUUGAUGGUGAAAAAAUCUCGUUGAUGCCGACUGCUGUACAUAACAGUCACACUAUAUAGCAAAUCCAGAACAAAUCUCUCGUGCACGUGUCGGCGAAUCUGUG